AUGGUGCUCCCCCACACACGAUGCUCCCUUCCUACAGUGCUCCUUUCCUCCAAGGCUCCCCUCCUACAGCGCUCUUUUCUGACAUGGCUUCCCUCCCAUAGUGCUCCACUGCCAAGAUGCUCCCCUCAGGGUCCCUUCCCACAGUGCUCCCCUCACAGUGUUUCCCCCCACACACAAUGCUCCCCCCAAUGCUCCCCUCACCCUGGCUCAGUGCUCCCCUGGCCCAGUGCUCCCUUCCCACAACUUUUCCACCUCACAGCGCUCCCUUCCGCCAACAUUUCCCUCAUGCAGUGCUCCAACAAUGUUUCCCUCACACAAGGUUCCCCUCACAGCGCUCCUCCCCACACAAUGCUCCCCCUCACCCUGGCUCAGUGCUUCUCUGUCUGGCCCCAGUGCUGCCUUCACAGUGCUCCCUUCCCACAAUGCCCCUCUCAGAGUGCUCCCUCCCCACAAUGCCCCUCACAGUGCUCCCUUCCCACAAUGCCCCUCAAAGUGCUCCCUUCCCACAAUGCCCCCUCACAGUGCUCCCUUCCCACAGUGCCUCCCUCACAAUGCUCCCUUCCCAAAUGCCCCUCACAGUGCUCCCUUCCCACAAUGCCCCCUCACAGUGCUCCCUUCCCACAAUGCCCCCGACAGUGCUCCCUUCCCACAAUGCCCCCCCUCACAAUGCUCCCUUCCCACAAUGCCCCUCUCAGAGUGCUCCCCUCCCACAAUGCCCCCCUGACGGUGCUCCCUUCCCACAAGGCUCCCCCGGCCCCGCGCGCGCCCCUCCCCCCUUCCCCCACCUCCCCCACCUCCCCCACGGCGCACGCCCCUCCCCCCGACGUCCCGCCCCCUGACGUCAUUACGUCCCCCCCCGCCGGCCUUCCCCUCCCCGAGUACGUCGCCCCUCCCUUUCACCUUGCUCGCCUUCGCCUCCGUGGGCGCGCCCCCGCCGCCCCGCCCCUCCCCGCCCCCGCCGCCAGGGAGCGCUCCCGGGCCCCCCCCCCCACGCACCCACCCACCCACCACCACCGAGCCCUUGCUCGGCCCCGCCGCCGCCGCCGCCCGGAUCGGACGGUCCCCGGGGCUCGGCCCGGCCGGGAGGGGCUCACCUGGACACGCUCCCUCCGUGGGGCCCGCCGACCCAGGUGA
rnacentral:lncRNA from 1 species